GGAGACGUGGCCGAGUGGUCGAAGGCGCUCCCCUGCUAAGGGAGUAGACGGGAAACCGUCUCGUGGGUUCGAAUCCCAUCGUCUCCGCCA
rnacentral:tRNA from 12 species